GACGAACGCUGGCGGCAUGCCUAAUACAUGCAAGUCGAGCGAACAGAUGAAGUGCUUGCACUUCUGACGUUAGCGGCGAACGGGCGAGUAACACGUAAGGAAUCUACCUAUAAGCGGGGGAUAACAUUCGGAAACGGGUGCUAAUACCGCAUAAUAUCUUCUUCCGCAUGGAAGAAGAUUGAAAGACGGCUCUGCUGUCACUUAUAGAUGACCUUGCGGUGCAUUAGUUAGUUGGUGGGGUAAUGGCCUACCAAGACGAUGAUGCAUAGCCGACCUGAGAGGGUGAUCGGCCACAUUGGGACUGAGACACGGCCCAAACUCCUACGGGAGGCAGCAGUAGGGAAUCUUCCGCAAUGGGCGAAAGCCUGACGGUGCAAUGCCGCGUGAGUGAAGAAGGCCUUCGGGUCGUAAAACUCUGUUAUAAGAGAAGAACAAAUUGUAGAGUAACUGCUACAGUCUUGACGGUAUCUUAUCAGAAAGCCACGGCUAACUACGUGCCAGCCGCCGCGGUAA
rnacentral:rRNA from 1 species